rnacentral:tRNA from 1 species
GUUAUUGUAGCUUGCCGCAAAGCGUGGCUCCGAACCCGCCAGAACGGGCGGCGACGGACCCCAAAAACA